UCGAGUGGAAUAUAUCUUGCUCAAGUGAUUGUUAUUUCUAGGUAAUAUUAAAGUUUCUCUCUUAAGCGCAUGCAUGGGGUAUUUUACUUAUCAAAUUAAAAAUCUUGACCAAUCUUUUUUUUUCUCCCUAUACCUGGUGGUACAACGUCGUUUUGGAAAAGAUCCCUCUGACCUAUACCUGGAGGACGAGAGUCCCCUGCGGCGCCCUGAAAUGCAGCUGCCGUAUCAGUGCUUCUAGAAAUCUGACAGAUAGCGUAGCUGGGCUGCAAUAGCGAUGGCAAGAGAGACCAUCAAUGGCAAUUACUUUCAAGCCAAACUUAAUGAUCUUUACCAGAAAAAGCAAAAAAAGGGUCGAGAGCUAAACUUUUCUCUAAGUUUUCUUAAUUCUCACCUUAUCAUCUUUUCCUCCAAGCGAAUAUUGUGUCAUUUUGAACUUGAGUGUGUCAACUUUAUUCUUGUCAUACUUCAAUUUUCGCUUGCACCACUUUUUUCCAUCUCCACUCUCCAUAGACUCUGUGAGGCGCAGAUUCCAGCUGCCUUUGCCCACCGGCACUUUCCGUAUCGGCUUUC
rnacentral:lncRNA from 1 species